GACGAACGCUGGCGGCGUGCUUAACACAUGCAAGUCGAACGGUAAGGCCCUUCGGGGUACACGAGUGGCGAACGGGUGAGUAACACGUGGGUGAUCUGCCCUGCACUUCGGGAUAAGCCUGGGAAACUGGGUCUAAUACCGGAUAGGACCACUGCGUGCAUGGGUGGUGGUGGAAAGCUGUUGCGGUGUGGGAUGGGCCCGGGGCCUAUCAGCUUGUUGGUGGGGUGAGGGCCUACCAAGGCGACGACGGGUAGCCGGCCUGAGAGGGUGACCGGCCACACUGGGACUGAGAUACGGCCCAGACUCCUACGGGAGGCAGCAGUGGGGAAUAUUGCACAAUGGGCGCAAGCCUGAUGCAGCGACGCCGCGUGAGGGAUGACGGCCUUCGGGUUGUAAACCUCUUUCAGCACCGACGAAGCGCAAGUGACGGUAGGUGCAGAAGAAGGACCGGCCAACUACGUGCCAGCCGCCGCCGUAA
rnacentral:rRNA from 1 species